AACUUUUGGCAACGGAUCACUUGGCUCUCGCAUCGAUGAAGAACGCAGCGAAAUGCGAUAAGUAAUGUGAAUUGCAGAAUUCCGUGAGUCAUCGAAUCUUUGAACGCACAUUGCGCCCUUUGGUAUUCCAAAGGGCAUGCCUGUCCGAGCGUCAUUAUCCACCCUCAAGCCCGGCUUGCCGUUGGGUUGCGUUGGGCGUCAGGCUCAACGGACCUCAAAGGUAAUGGCAGAGCCUGCGAGGGCCCCGGACGCAGCGAGCUCUCCAGCACGCGUCGUGGGGAUCCCUUCGGGCUUGGCCUUAAUCGACGAAUUUUUCACGUUGACCUCGGAUCAGGCAGGGAUACCCGCUGAACUUAAGCAUAUCAAUAAGCGGAGGCU
rnacentral:misc_RNA from 1 species